AGAGGCGUGGCCCCUCACAGUGCCUAGCACCUGCUGGUAUACAGCUCAUGCUCAAAGAAUGUGACCACUCAGUUAACACACAGAAGAACGUGCUCCAAGCGACACGUGGCACAUCUCCUUACAAAAUGAAUCUAUCAUAGCGGCUGUUUUCAGAGGCUUUCCCAAACACAGUGUGAUCUGGAACAAAUUGUGAAGCCCAGGAGCCUGGUGAAACUUUCAUUAUUGAGCACCUGCUGUAUACCUCCUUGAGCUGAGGAGAAGGACCAAGAGCUCAUGGCCAAGAGGGGACCAGGCCCACCCACAAACACUGUUGAUGUGUGGCCCUGAGCUGUGGCAGGGAUGUGGCAACGCAGAAAGGAACCAGGUGGCACAGAAUGUGGUCCUGUACACAGGUGACUCCAACCUGGGGCUGGAGCCGUUUGAGGCAGCUGGAGACAUCUUCUUCAAUGAGGCCUGGGAGCGGGAGAAAGCCGUGUCCUUCUACCGGGUGAGCUGGCUUGUGGGCUGAUGUAUGUGGGCCUCAGGGGAUCACCUGGAGGGCUGAGGCACAGGUGUGGCAGGGCAGAGGCCUCCCACCUGGAGGCAAGGCCACCCAUGCACAUGCUUAGUUUCCUAGUGGUCUCACCGGGAAUGAUAUUGACUGUGCCCCCUGCCUGGGACAAACGCUCAGGUCUGGAUAUGACAGUGGCUCUACCCUUGCACCUGAUGAUCUCAAGCAACCAUGAGUGGGAAGUCCUGUCCCCAUCUUCCAGAUGAGGAAGCUGAGGCUCAGAGAAGCACAGGGACAUGUCAAAGGACACACAGCAUGUCAGUGGGAGGCCCACGACCAGGGCCCAAGUCUGCCUGCACCCCGAACCGGGGACGGCAUCUCCCUUCCUCUGAGCUCACGGUGUGGCUCAGCCCUGGGCACAGAUAAAUGUGGUAUUUUUAGAGCAGAGAGGAUUGCUGGCUCCCCCUAGUCAGACCCCCGGUGCCCAGGUGGGAGAGGCUGGUCUGAGGCUGCUGGGUGUAGCUAGAUGGACCUCAGGUGACUCUUCAACCCCCAACUUGGGUGUCUGAACCAUGCGUUAUCCCAGAGCACAGAGCUCUGUGGAGGUGCAGGGGUAACUGGGGCGUGGGAUGCUCCAAGCCCAUGUUUGAGCUCUGAGGAAGGCGCUGAGCAAGGUGGGUGCUGCUGGAAGCCUGACCCCACCUGCCUGUGUGGUAGGACCAGGCCCUGCCCCGGCAGUGACUACAGGCAACGGGUAGGUGGAGCCGCAGCUGCAGCUGUGCAACAAGCUGGUGGCACUGCUGGCCACGCUGGAGGAGCCCCAGGAGGGCUUGGAGGUUGCCCACAUGGCCCUAGCACUCAGCAUCACUCUGGGGGACCGGCUGAAUGAGCACGUGGCCUACCACCGGCUGGGCCAUGGCAAGCUGGCGGAGCACUUCUACCUCAAGGCCCUGUAGCUCUGCAACUCACCGCUGGAGUUCGACGAGGAGACCCGCUACUACGUGAAGGUGUACCUGGUGCUUGGUGCCAUCAUCUUCUACGACCUGAAGGUCG